UCAAGUUUCUAAUAAGGACGUAUCGCAGUAUAUAGUGACCUACUAUCUAUGUAGCCCCUUACACGAAAAUAGCCCACAUGGAUGAAACGACUCUUGAUGACAAGUGAGCCCCACUCCUCUUUAGCUCAUCCUCGCUCCCUCUUGUUGCUGUUCGUUGAGCUUGGGAUUUAGGGUUCGGGAGCUCCAACAAACCUAAAAUUGGCGGAGGCUGGACUGGCAGCAGCAGCGCGUCGAGGACAACAAGGUGAGGUGGUAGGG
rnacentral:lncRNA from 1 species